rnacentral:rRNA from 1 species
UGCAGUCGAGCGGACAGAUGGGAGCUUGCUCCCUGAUGUUAGCGGCGGACGGGUGAGUAACACGUGGGUAACCUGCCUGUAAGACUGGGAUAACUCCGGGAAACCGGGGCUAAUACCGGAUGGUUGUUUGAACCGCAUGGUUCAGACAUAAAAGGUGGCUUCGGCUACCACUUACAGAUGGACCCGCGGCGCAUUAUCUAGUUGGUGAGGUAACGGCUCACCAAGGCGACGAUGCGUAGCCGACCUGAGAGGGUGAUCGGCCACACUGGGACUGAGACACGGCCCAGACUCCUACGGGAGGCAGCAGUAGGGAAUCUUCCGCAAUGGACGAAAGUCUGACGGAGCAACGCCGCGUGAGUGAUGAAGGUUUUCGGAUCGUAAAGCUCUGUUGUUAGGGAAGAACAAGUGCCGUUCAAAUAGGGCGGCACCUUGACGGUACCUAACCAGAAAGCCACGGCUAACUACGUGCCACCAGCCGCGGUAAUACGUAGGUGGCAAGCGUUGUCCGGAAUUAUUGGGCGUAAAGGGCUCGCAGGCGGUUUCUUAAGUCUGAUGUGAAAGCCCCCGGCUCAACCGGGGAGGGUCAUUGGAAACUGUGGAACUUGAGUGCAGAAGAGGAGAGUGGAAUUCCACGUGUAGCGGUGAGAUGCGUAGAGAUGUGGAGGAACACCAGUGGCGAAGGCGACUCUCUGGUCUGUAACUGACGCUGAGGAGCGAAAGCGUGGGGAGCGAACAGGAUUAUAUACCCCUGUGUAGUCCACGCCGUAAAC